UGAAAGACAGUCAUGGUAACACUCAAGU
rnacentral:piRNA from 1 species